rnacentral:lncRNA from 1 species
AUUCAUAUGUGCUGCCAUAUUCUUAUUAAAAACUGGUUAGUUUUAACUAUAACCGAAUAUAAAUAUACUUCCGAAGUAAGAUCUCGUUUGAGAACUGUGUAAAGUUGGUUAGAUUCAAACAAGCUACCCUUUGGCAAUAAAUGUAUAGAAUGAAGAUGUUUUAUUAAUAAAAUUAUGUUCUCUCCAUUCAAAUUGCUACCAAAGC